GACCAUGAGCUGUCCAAUGGGCUGUUCGUCUACGCGAGCAUACACUCAGCUGUGACUAAGAUCUGUGCUCGCAAGAGCAGAUCUGUGCCUGAAACAGGUUGAGAAUCCAUCGUGCUGGCUAACAAAGGAACGAUCACAAAUCGUUCCAGCUUCAUCAGCUAUGCAUCUGCCCUAUCAGCCUGACUGUCGUGUAAAGGACUACAGUAGCUGUUACGGGUACAGAGAAUCAGGCUUUGAUUCUGGAGMGGGAGCCUGAGAGACGGCUACCACUACUAAGGUUGGCAGCAGGCACGCAAAUUGCCCCAUGCAGAAACUAUGCGAGGCAGCGACGAAUCAUAAUGGUGGAGCUAGCAAUCUCUUGCAGUUCUACUG
rnacentral:rRNA from 1 species